GGUAGACCUCCCACCCUUGUGUAUUAUUACUUUGUUGCUUUGGCGAGCUGCCUUCGGGCCUUGUAUGCUCGCCAGAGAAUACCAAAACUCUUUUUAUUAAUGUCGUCUGAGUACUAUAUAAUAGUUAAAACUUUCAACAACGGAUCUCUUGGUUCUGGCAUCGAUGAAGAACGCAGCGAAAUGCGAUAAGUAAUGUGAAUUGCAGAAUUCAGUGAAUCAUCGAAUCUUUGAACGCACAUUGCGCCCCUUGGUAUUCCGGGGGGCAUGCCUGUUCGAGCGUCAUUUCAACCCUCAAGCUUAACUUGGUAUUGAGUCUAUGUCAGUAAUGGCAGGCUCUAAAAUCAGUGGCGGCGCCGCUGGGUCCUGAACGUAGUAAUAUCUCUCGUUACAGGUUCUCGGUGUGCUUCUGCCAAAACCCAAAUUUUUCUAUGGUCGGCGAGUGAAGCGGCAACAGCUCAAAUUUGAAAUCUGNCCUUCUGGUCCGAGUUGUAAUUUGUAGAGGAUGUUUUUGGCGCGGUGCCUUCCGAGUUCCCUGGAACGGGACGCCUUAGAGGGUGAGAGCCCCGUACGGUUGGACGCUAAGCCUCUGUAAAACUCCUUCGACGAGUCGAGUAGUUUGGGAAUGCUGCUCUAAAUGGGAGGUAAAUUUCUUCUAAAGCUAAAUACCGGCCAGAGACCGAUAGCGCACAAGUAGAGUGAUCGAAAGAUGAAAAGCACUUUGAAAAGAGGGUUAAAUAGCACGUGAAAUUGUUGAAAGGGAAGCGUUUGCGACCAGACCUUUUCCUAGCGGAUCAUCCGGUGUUCUCACCGGUGCACUUCGCUUGGUUUAGGCCAGCAUCGGUUUCUGUAGGGGGAUAAAAGCUUUGGGAAUGUGGCUCCCUCGGGAGUGUUAUAGCCCUUUGCAUAAUACCUUUACGGGGACCGAGGACCGCGCUUUUGCAAGGAUGCUGGCAUAAUGGUCGUCAACGACCCGUCUUGAAACACGGACCAAGGAGUCGAACAUUUGUGCGAGUGUUUGGGUGUUAAACCCUCACGCGUAAUGAAAGUGAACGGAGGUGAGAGCCCUUUAGGGUGCAUCAUCGACCGAUCCUGAUGUCUUCGGAUGGAUUUGAGUAAGAGCAUA
rnacentral:sRNA from 1 species